rnacentral:rRNA from 1 species
UACGGAGGGGGCAAGCGUUGCUCGGAUUGACUGGGCGUAAAGGGCGCGUAGGCGGUUCGUACAGUCAGACGUGAAAUUCCUGGGCUCAACCUCGGAACUGCCUUUGAUACUGCGGGUCUUGAGUCCGAUAGAGGUGGGUGGAAUUCCUAGUGUAGAGGUGAAAUUCGUAGAUAUUAGGAAGAACACCGGUGGCGAAGGCGGCCCACUGGAUCGGUACUGACGCUGAGGUGCGAAAGCGUGGGGAGCAAACAGG